AUCUACCAGAACACUUUAAGGUUGCCUACGAAAAAAUUGACCAGUACCAAACAUUGCAGCAACACAAAAAGAAAAAUUGCUCAUUCAAAAGGAAAGGGAUUGUAAGGUGGCAUAGAGCUGUGUCUACAAGCUUCAUUAAACAAAAUAUAUUGGACCCCUAAAAUCAUCCAGAUAGGGAUAGGGACAUGAGAUUUGAGCAAACUCAGAAAAAAAAUUGAUGAAGAAAGUGAAGACUGCUUUUGGGAGGGUGCUGUUACACAAGUACAGAGGAAAGCCAGCAAGUGCUAGAAAAGAGGGAUCCACUAACCAUAAGGGAGACCGCCUGUCAAACACAGAGCUUGUUCCUAGGAUUGUCAAGAAGCUUUCAUAUCCCAACUUAUUUACACCCAAAAUGAGAAAACUCUCAGAGAAU
rnacentral:lncRNA from 1 species